UAGGCUGUCUUUUUGUUCUCCUUCCCACUAGGUUUUUUGCCCCUCCCUUGGGCAGGUGUUUGGGGGUGAGGAAUAGAUUUCAAAAGACUGCUGCCCCCUGCCCGAAGCUGGAGUCAUUUUACACCCAGCGGAGCAGACAGCCAACACAGAGUGAAAUUGUCAGUUUGAUGUCGUUGUGCGGCAAAACUCAGAGGCAGAUUGAAACUUGGUUCAGACUCCGCAGAAACCAAGACAGGCCGUGUCAAACCAAGAAGUUUGGUGAAGCAGCUUGGAGGUUCUUUUUCUACCUCGUAGCCUUUGUGGCUGGAUUGGCCUGCUUGAUUGAUAGACCCUGGUUCUGGGACCGCAGGGAGUGUUGGAGACAGUAUCCAGAACAGGUGAAAGCACUACUUACAUUGUUUGAGUAACAGGUUUCAGUGAUGUCUUAUGCAGAAGCUGUUAACUGUAACCUGAUAUGGAUAGGGUUACUGAAACAGAUCAAGUUUCUUUCAACAAGGAUAUGUAAAACAAACACAAUAUGGUCAGAUGAAUUAAAACGCUUCCUCAUUCUUACCAAAGAUAACAAUGAAAAAAUAACCUGUUUCAUUUAGACUCAGUUCAGAGAUAUGAUUAGGAACGGCACUGUUAAGAACAAAUGAAUGAUCAUAUAUUUUUAUUUUUGCCACAGUUCCACCUUGCUCUUACUGUUUUCUUGUUGGCAAAUUUUUGCUAUGAAACCUGUGUUUUUAUAGCUCUGUGUACUUUGAUAUUUAACUAAUAUGCUGUAUUUGUUUAACUAAAACUUCAUUUUAGGGCUGCAACUAAAGAUUAUUUUCAUUAUCAUUUAAUCCAUGCAUUAUUUUCUUAAUUAACUGACAAGCUGUGUGGUGUAUUAAACUUUGGCCAGCCCAAAGGUAUUCCAUUUACAUUCACAGAAGGCUUUAAAAUUAUUAUGCAUUCAUAUCUGAGAUGCUAUAACCAGUCUUGUAUUUUAUUUAUUUGUUUGGCCUCUUUGAUUAAAAAUGAUUUAAGGGAUUAACUGAUCUGUGGCCUAUAUUCUGACCUAUCCAUCCAUGUGCCCUUUCCUAAACAAAGUGCUUUAUCAAGAAACUUUAAUGACACAGGUCUUAAAUAAUGUACAACUACAAAGUAUAAUUCCUAAUCGGUACUUUGAGCUUUAUUUAGGAAAUGUCUCUGAACUCUCCAUUGUUGGCUGGUAAAGUUCCAUUUGUGUGCCACAAGUAAAUGUUUGUGUUUUUAAAUCACUUUUUAUUGACUUAUAAAUUGCAUUUCCCACACAGCCCAUGGAGAGAGCUCAUUACUGGUACUACAUGCUGGAGCUGAGUUUCUAUAACUCUCUCCUGCUCCGAAUCUUUGUGGACAUCAAGAGGAAGGUGAGGGCCUCAACAUUUCAUUUAUUCAUACUUCUAACACAGCUGUUUCCCCCCCAGUUCACAACACACAACACGUGCCCUUUAGACAAGUAUGUAAGUGAAGGUGAGGAACAUAUUUUACAUUUGAUGGCUUGCACUAACUUCACUUCUGCUUCAAGCACAAACUACACUUAACACGUGGUUAAUAAGUAACUUUAGAGCAUGAAUUUAAACUCUUUUGUGGAAAUACGAAGGUCGAUUUGUUUUAGUCUGUGUAUAUACUGUAUAUGUGUUUGCUUUGCUAGGAUUUUAAAGAACAGGUGAUCCACCAUUUGGUCUGCAUCCUUCUGCUCAGUUUCUCCUACAGUGCCAACUAC